rnacentral:rRNA from 2 species
GAUGAUUUUGGAUCCGACUGAGUGGCGAACUGGUGAGUAACACGUGGGUAACCUGCCCAGAAGAAGGGGAUAACACCUGGAAACAGAUGCUAAUACCGUAUAACAACAAGAACCACAUGGUUCUUGUUUGAAAGCUGGCCUUUGUGCUAGUGCUUCUGGAUGGACCCGCGGCGUAUUAGCUAGUUGGUGAGAUAAUAGCUCACCAAGGCAAUGAUACGUAGCAGACCUGAGAGGGUAAUCUGCCACAAUGGGACUGAGACACGGCCCAUACUCCUACGGGAGGCAGCAGUAGGGAAUCUUCCACAAUGGACGAAAGUCUGAUGGAGCAACGCCGCGUGAGUGAAGAAGGGUUUCGGCUCGUAAAACUCUGUUGUUAGAGAAGAACAGCCGUGAGAGCAACUGCUCACGGUAUGACGGUAUCUAACCAGAAAGUCACGGCUAACUACGUGCCAGCAGCCGCGGUAAUACGUAGGUGGCAAACGUUGUCCGGAUUUAUUGGGCGUAAAGGGAGCGCAGGCGGUUUAUUAAGUCUGAUGUGAAAGCCUUCGGCUUAACCGGAGAAGUGCAUCGGAAACUGAUAAACUUGAGUGCAGAAAAGGAUAGUGGAACUUCAUGUGUAGCGGUGAAAUGCGUAGAUAUAUGAAGGAACACCAGUGGCGAAGGCGGCUAUCUGGUCUGUAACUGACGCUGAGGCUCGAAAGCAUGGGUAGCAAACAGGAUUAGAUACCCUGGUAGUCCAUGCCGUAAACGAUGAAUGCUAGGUGUUGGAAGGUUUCCGCCUUUCAGUGCCGCAGCUAACGCAUUAAGCAUUCCGCCUGGGGAGUACGACCGCAGGUUGAAACUCAAAGGAAUUGACGGGGACCCGCACAAGCGGUGGAGCAUGUGGUUUAAUUCGAUGCUACGCGAAGAACCUUACCAGGACUUGACAUCUUCUGCCAUCUAAGAGAUAGACGUUCCUUCGGGGACAGAA